rnacentral:rRNA from 1 species
CCUACGGGAGGCAGCAGUGAGGAAUAUUGGUCAAUGGACGAGAGUCUGAACCAGCCAAGUAGCGUGAAGGAUGACUGCCCUAUGGGUUGUAAACUUCUUUUAUAUGGGAAUAAAAUGUUCCACGUGUGGGAUUUUGUAUGUACCAUAUGAAUAAGGAUCGGCUAACUCCGUGCCAGCAGCCGCGGUAGUACGGAGGAUCCGAGCGUUAUCCGGAUUUAUUGGGUUUAAAGGGAGCGUAGGUGGAUUGUUAAGUCAGUUGUGAAAGUUUGCGGCUCAACCGUAAAAUUGCAGUUGAAACUGGCAGUCUUGAGUACAGUAGAGGUGGGCGGAAUUCGUGGUGUAGCGGUGAAAUGCUUAGAUAUCACGAAGAACUCCGAUUGCGAAGGCAGUUCACUGGACUGCAACUGACACUGAGGCUCGAAAGUGUGGGUAUCAAACAGGAUUAGAUACCCCUGUAGUC